GCGCCGUUGGUCUAGUGGUUAUGAUUCCUGCCUUCCAUCAGCGUUAGCAUGAGAGACGUGUUCGAUUCACGUACGGCGCA